GCUUGCACCGGCUUCGUCCCGCGUCCGUAAUUUCGUCUUGUUUCCCGCCCAAAGUUUCGUCCCGCGUCCGGGAUUUUCGUCUCGGCGCCGUUCUUCGUUUUUCGAUCCUUCCCUCCCUCUUGUAUUUUUUUACUUUGUUUUUCCGGGGAGACCCCGUGGCAACGGUGAGCAAUAGCACACCCUAUUCAUGCAUGAGGUCCAAAAUUUCCAGCCCAAAAUGACGAAAAAUCGUCCACGAUGGCGAGUGUCUCAAAGCGCUCCCGGAGGUUUAGAAACGGGUAUGGGAAUGUAGCACGGAGUUUGGUGGCCCCCAACUCCAGGAUGGUGUCGAAAAUUGGGGGCAAAGUGGGCAUUUCUACAUUUCGGUUUACGUAGGAUGGCCUCCGGGACGACUACGCAACGGGAGCGCCUGGCCUCCGACCCGGUCGGUGCCGGGCCCGUCGGAGAGGCCGCGUGGAGACGGCGCUCCGGGAAGACUACCUUCCACGUUGCGGGCGCGUCCGCACCACACGGCGUCUCGUGCCAAACCGCAACGACCGCUUAAGAGCGGCUGCAUCUCCCUCACUCACAAUUUCGAUUCCUCCGUCUUGUAUUCUUUUUUUUUUCGUUUUGCCGGGAAGAGAUCCGAAAUUUCCCGCCAAAAAUGACUAGAAAUGCGUGAAUAUACAUCCGGGAGCUAAAUGCGUGAAUCCACACUCUAAAAUGCGUCAGUGUACAUCCGUAUGUAGACCGUUUCGAAACCUCAAAAAAGGUAUCAUAUUAAGAAACCGAGGGGGUAGUUAUGCAUGCAUGCUUGCGUGUCUCAAGUACAC
rnacentral:misc_RNA from 1 species